rnacentral:ncRNA from 1 species
ACUCUAGCUAGGCAUUGUGAAGUGUCAUAUGAGGUGUAGAAUAGGUGGGAGUUAUAUUUAUUUAUAACGAACUUGAAAUACCACUACUUAUAUUGAUAUUUUACUUAGUUGAUUAUAUGGAAAUUUUAUAUUAUUAUAAUAUAAUAAUUGUUGUAUUAAAUUAAUAUCUUUGAGAUAUUUUAAUAAUCCACGUCAAUGACCAUGUCUGGCGGGGAGUUUGACUGGGGCGGUACAUCUAUCAAACUGUAACGUAGGUGUCCUAAGGCAAACUCAAAGAGGACAGAAACCUCUUGUAGAGUAAAAGGGCAAAAGUUUGCUUGAUCAUGAUUUUCAGUACGAAUACAGACCCUGAAAGGGUGGCCUAUCGAUCCUUUUGUAUUAGUAUGUUUCUAAAAAGAGGUGCCAG